rnacentral:lncRNA from 1 species
CAAGCUGUCCUGUUACAACCUAUUCUGCCAGAUUUACACUUUUAGCUCCCAUGUUAAAUUUCUUUACUCUAAGCCUUUCAAACAUCAUUUUAACAUUCAUAUAACAUAUUUAUAUAAUCAAAGCAACAUUUCCAGCAAGUAAAAUCAACCCCUAAUUUCACUUAUUCAUGGCAGAAUCAAAGGAAAACAGAAAAUCAUUAAAAC